UACGUAGGUGGCGAGCGUUGUCCGGAUUUACUGGGCGUAAAGCGCGCGCAGGCGGCAAAGUAAGUAAGGUGUGAAAUCUGUCGGCUCAACCGGGAGGGUGCACUUUAGACUGCUUUGCUUGAGGUCGGUAGAGGGGGGGUGGAAUUGCUGGUGUAGCGGUGAAAUGCGUAGAGAUCAGCAGGAACACCCGUGGCGAAGGCGGCCCCCUGGGCCGUACCUGACGCUGAGGCGCGAAGGCUAGGGGAGCGAACGGG
rnacentral:rRNA from 1 species